rnacentral:rRNA from 1 species
GAUGAACGCUGGCGGCGUGCCUAAUACAUGCAAGUCGAGCGAACAGACGAGGAGCUUGCUCCUCUGACGUUAGCGGCGGACGGGUGAGUAACACGUGGAUAACCUACCUAUAAGACUGGGAUAACUUCGGGAAACCGGAGCUAAUACCGGAUAAUAUAUUGAACCGCAUGGUUCAACAGUGAAAGACGGUUUUGCUGUCACUUAUAGAUGGAUCCGCGCCGCAUUAGCUAGUUGGUAAGGUAACGGCUUACCAAGGCAACGAUGCGUAGCCGACCUGAGAGGGUGAUCGGCCACACUGGAACUGAGACACGGUCCAGACUCCUACGGGAGGCAGCAGUAGGGAAUCUUCCGCAAUGGGCGAAAGCCUGACGGAGCAACGCCGCGUGAGUGAUGAAGGUCUUCGGAUCGUAAAACUCUGUUAUUAGGGAAGAACAAAUGUGUAAGUAACUAUGCACGUCUGGACGGUACCUAAUCAGAAAGCCACGGCUAACUACGU